UUACGGCCACAUCACGUUGAAAUACUGGUUCUCGUGUGAUCACUGAAGUUAAGCAACUUCUAGCCUGGCCUGUACCUUGAUGGGUGACCGUUUGGUAAUUUAUGAUGCAGU